rnacentral:rRNA from 1 species
GCAGAGAUCUCCUCUCGUACCUUUUGCAUCAUGAUUCAGCAAGUUAACUCAAGCAAAGAGCACUCUAGUUUGCACCCCCGAAACUUGACGAGCUACUCCGAGACAGCCAACUAUGGGCCAACCCGUCUCUGUGGCAAAAGAGUGGGAAGAUCUCCGAGUAGAGGCAAAAAACCUACCGAGCCAAGUUAUAGCUGGUUGCCCAAUAAAUGAAUACAAGUUCAGCCCUGCCUAGCCCAACUCACACCAGUUUUACAAAAAAAGACGAAGAGCUUACCCGCAGGAGUUAAUCAGAGGAGGUACAGCUCCCCUGAUACAGGAUACAACCUUUUUAGGAGACAAAAGAAUAUUACCAAACAAAGGCCUUGGGUCUCAGUGGGCCUGAAAGCAGCCAUCUGACCUGAAAGCGUUAAAGCUCCGACCAGAAAAAAGCCUUUUAUUUAAUUUCAAUAUCUGUUUCCCUAAACCUUAUUGGGCCUCUCCAUGCACCCAUGGAAGAGAUUAUGCUGGAACGAGUAACAAGAAGAACGAACUUCUCCGCGCACAAGUGUAUGUCGAAUUGGACCCGCCAUCGACAAUCAACGAACCCAACAAGAGAGGGCCCUACACACCCGCCACCUCUGACCAAGAAAAUCAUGUUCCCCAAAAUCGUUGCCCCAACACAGGAGUGCCAGAACAAGGAAAGACUUAAAGAAAAAAAAGGAACUCGGCAAACCCAGACCUCGCCUGUUUACCAAAAACAUCGCCUCUUGCAUCCCGAAGUAUAAGAGGUCCCACCU